rnacentral:rRNA from 1 species
GACGAACGCUGGCGGCGUGCUUAACACAUGCAAGUCGAACGGAAAGGCCCCUUUGGGGGUACUCGAGUGGCGAACGGGUGAGUAACACGUGAGUAACCUGCCCUUGACUUCGGGAUAACUUCAGGAAACUGGGGCUAAUACCGGAUAGGAAUCCUUGCUGCAUGGUGGGGGUUGGAAAGCUUCGGCGGUUUUGGAUGGACUCGCGGCUUAUCAGCUUGUUGGUGGGGUAGUGGCUUACCAAGGCUUUGACGGGUAGCCGGCCUGAGAGGGCGACCGGCCACAUUGGGACUGAGAUACGGCCCAGACUCCUACGGGAGGCAGCAGUGGGGAAUCUUGCACGAUGGGCGGCAGCCUGAUGCAGCAACGCCGCGGGCGGGAUGACGGCCUUCGGGUUGUAAACCGCUUUCAGCAGGGGCGAAGCUUGUGGUGACGGUACCUGCAGAAGAAGCACCGGCUAACUACGUG